GGAGCGGGUUGACGCGCGGAUCCCCUCCCUAAACGGCGUCGUUUCGCUUUGUGGUCAAAAUCAAAGAAAAAUUAAAUGGCAAUCUGCCAUUUUUUGCUGAAAUUAACUUCUAAUUCCCUAUUCUUUUAACCCUCAUUUCUAGGGUUUCAACCGCACCUCUGCUAGAAGAUCGGAGGACCUUUACUCUCCCCCCAAAGGCCAACUCCGCCGAUAGAGGGAGAGUUUCUGACGAGGGAAGAGUGAAUCCACUCUAGUGUGGAGAAACGGCGGUAUGGAGGAAUCCGCUCGUGGAAGCCGUGCGUGGGAAUCACUCGUGGGAUCAAUCUGUUGCUGCUCUAGCAUCUUCCAGAAACCCCUAGGGUUUCUGGUGCUUUCACAUUAUUGGGCUCCUUUGGGCCAUUUAGGAAUUGGGUCAGGGACUAAAUUAGGGGUUUUGGGUGUAAUAGGAUUUUGGGUUAAUGUUUUAGGCCAUUAUUUAUUGUGUUUGGGGAUUUAUUUGGGUUAAUUGGGUUAUUUUAUUAUUUGUAAAAGAACUUGGACUUUGACUUAUUUUAGGCCAUUUAUUUUCUUUUGUUUUUUA